GUUAAGCGACUAAGCGUACACGGUGGAUGCCCUGGCAGUCAGAGGCGAUGAAGGACGUGCUAAUCUGCGAUAAGCGUCGGUAAGGUGAUAUGAACCGUUAUAACCGGCGAUUUCCGAAUGGGGAAACCCAGUGUGAUUCGUCACACUAUCAUUAACUGAAUCCAUAGGUUAAUGAGGCGAACCGGGGGAACUGAAACAUCUAAGUACCCCGAGGAAAAGAAAUCAACCGAGAUUCCCCCAGUAGCGGCGAGCGAACGGGGAGCAGCCCAGAGCCUGAAUCAGUGUGUGUGUUAGUGGAAGCGUCUGGAAAGGCGCGCGAUACAGGGUGACAGCCCCGUACACAAAAAUGCACAUGCUGUGAGCUCGAUGAGUAGGGCGGGACACGUGGUAUCCUGUCUGAAUAUGGGGGGACCAUCCUCCAAGGCUAAAUACUCCUGACUGACCGAUAGUGAACCAGUACCGUGAGGGAAAGGCGAAAAGAACCCCGGCGAGGGGAGUGAAAAAGAACCUGAAACCGUGUACGUACAAGCAGUGGGAGCACGCUUAGGCGUGUGACUGCGUACCUUUUGUAUAAUGGGUCAGCGACUUAUAUUCUGUAGCAAGGUUAACCGAAUAGGGGAGCCGAAGGGAAACCGAGUCUUAACUGGGCGUUAAGUUGCAGGGUAUAGACCCGAAACCCGGUGAUCUAGCCAUGGGCAGGUUGAAGGUUGGGUAACACUAACUGGAGGACCGAACCGACUAAUGUUGAAAAAUUAGCGGAUGACUUGUGGCUGGGGGUGAAAGGCCAAUCAAACCGGGAGAUAGCUGGUUCUCCCCGAAAGCUAUUUAGGUAGCGCCUCGUGAAUUCAUCUCCGGGGGUAGAGCACUGUUUCGGCAAGGGGGUCAUCCCGACUUACCAACCCGAUGCAAACUACGAAUACCGGAGAAUGUUAUCACGGGAGACACACGGCGGGUGCUAACGUCCGUCGUGAAGAGGGAAACAACCCAGACCGCCAGCUAAGGUCCCAAAGUCAUGGUUAAGUGGGAAACGAUGUGGGAAGGCCCAGACAGCCAGGAUGUUGGCUUAGAAGCAGCCAUCAUUUAAAGAAAGCGUAAUAGCUCACUGGUCGAGUCGGCCUGCGCGGAAGAUGUAACGGGGCUAAACCAUGCACCGAAGCUGCGGCAGCGACGCUUAUGCGUUGUUGGGUA
rnacentral:rRNA from 1 species